rnacentral:lncRNA from 1 species
AAUGUUUGAACAAUUUAUAAAAUACAUGCCGAUCAAAUAUGUUUAAUGAGUUUCCCUUGGAAAUAUUAAAUAUAUCAGAAAAUGCUCUGAACUCUUCAACUCUCGUAUAAGAUAAUUUUAGAAUGUUUUAAAGAACAUUUUGUUAUUUCCCUUAGACAAGACAGAUAAAAUAUAUGUAACGCGGGUGACAUUGAAAUUUUUUAUUUUAAGAAGAUUAAAGUAUGUAUUAUAGCUCACUAGAAUGUUAAUAUAACCCAUUACAAGUAAUUAUAUAUGCAAGUAGUUUUUGUUUCGCAUGAGACUUUUGAAUCAAACAUAAUUUGUAUUUUUUCAAUCAUUUAGUAUUACUUUACUUAUUUCACUAGACUAAGCAGGGUUUACCCGGUUCGCUUAUUUAAGACCAGUCCAUCUAUAGAAAGGUAUGUCGGGAUAAACUCAUCAAUGAAAUGUCCAGUUAUUCGUCCCAUAUAUAUCAUACACUCAGUUCUUUUGUAUAUCUAUUUGGUGACACUGAUAGGUGAUUAGAAAUCAAUUAUAAUUAUAACGGCCAUCGUCUCUUUAUCAAACACACUUUCAAAAAGACUGUAUUUAUGCAAAUUAAAAAGUAAGCUCCGCCCAAACAGUUGAAAUAACAUUGGUAAUAUUACCAAGUAAAAACGAGGCUGAUGCUACCAACAACCAUUCGAAAGUUAAACUUGAAUCAUUUGUUUUAUAGGCCAAAAUGAAAAAAAAAUAUUGCUGUCAUUAUUAAGUUUUAUAGCUGCAAUUCUUCGUAUACUGUUGUGUGAGUGAUUGAUAAGUGUACACUAAUAUUUAU